rfam:Danio rerio chromosome 9, GRCz11 reference primary assembly.
CUCCACAGCCAUGUCACCCUGCAGCCCAAGACUGGUUACUCAUUGAAGCUAAGCAGGGCUGAGCCUGGUCAGUACCUGGAUGGGAGACCACUAGGGAACACUAGGUUGCUGUUGGAA